GACGAACGCUGGCGGCGUGCCUAAUACAUGCAAGUUGAGCGCUGAAGGUUGGUACUUGUACCAACUGGAUGAGCAGCGAACGGGUGAGUAACGCGUGGGGAAUCUGCCUUUGAGCGGGGGACAACAUUUGGAAACGAAUGCUAAUACCGCAUCAAACUUUAAACACAAGUUUUAAGUUUGAAGGAUGCAAUUGCAUCACUCAAAGAUGAUCCCGCGUUGUAUUAGCUAGUUGGUGAGGUAAAGGCUCACCAAGGCGAUGAUACAUAGCCGACCUGAGAGGGUGAUCGGCCACAUUGGGACUGAGACACGGCCCAAACUCCUACGGGAGGCAGCAGUAGGGAAUCUUCGGCAAUGGACGAAAGUCUGACCGAGCAACGCCGCGUGAGUGAAGAAGGUUUUCGGAUCGUAAAACUCUGUUGGUAGAGAAGAACGUUGGUGAGAGUGGAAAGCUCAUCAAGUGAC
rnacentral:rRNA from 1 species